GACGAACGCUGGCGGCGUGCCUAAUACAUGCAAGUAGAACGCUGAAGCUUGGUGCUUGCACCGAGCGGAUGAGUUGCGAACGGGUGAGUAACGCGUAGGUAACCUGCCUGGUAGCGGGGGAUAACUAUUGGAAACGAUAGCUAAUACCGCAUAAGAGUAGAUGUUGCAUGACAUUUGCUUAAAAGGUGCAAUUGCAUCACUACCAGAUGGACCUGCGUUGUAUUAGCUAGUUGGUGAGGUAACGGCUCACCAAGGCAACGAUACAUAGCCGACCUGAGAGGGUGAUCGGCCACACUGGGACUGAGACACGGCCCAGACUCCUACGGGAGGCAGCAGAAGGGAAUCUUCGGCAAUGGACGGAAGUCUGACCGAGCAACGCCGCGUGAGUGAAGAAGGUUUUCGGAUCGUAAAGCUCUGUUGUAAGAGAAGAACGAGUGUGAGAGUGGAAAGUUCACACUGUGACGGUAUCUUACCAGAAAGGGACGGCUAACUACGUG
rnacentral:rRNA from 1 species